rnacentral:lncRNA from 1 species
AGCCAUUUUUGAAAUGACUACAGAAGAGGUAUCAUCAUUGAUGACCAAGCUGAUUGGCUCUAGUACAAGUGGGAGAUUGUUGGAAAUGUGCCCUAAAACCAAUCAUAUGAUGAUACUUUACGGACAUUUCACAUGUUAAACUAAUCUAGUUUAAUAUCAAGGGCAAAUAUUAUUGUUUUAAGUCGUCUUAUAUAAAUGUUAUAUGCUUAAACGAUAAGUCCAAGGAAAAUGUAAUUAGGAGAAUGUAAUUUAAAGAAGUUAGAUUCAUGAGACCAUUCUCUGUCGUAUACAUAUUCUAAACGUUCCUGAUCAUAGGAUUGCCAAUUGGGCAUUGACAGUCCAUUAAGAUCAGUACGUGAUGUGUCUUCUCUAAGGGAGAGUGACUGGUCUUGAGUCAUUGGUGUGAUUGACACCAAGACAAGCAUGUAGGUGCUCAAUAGAGAAUUAGUCCACUGAACACGAUCAACGAGGAGUUCACAUACUCAUGUCACAUGAGAACUCAUGGUUGGGAUAAUGCAAAGUAGUCAUUUGACCUGAGGCAUCAUAGUUGUCUUGUGGUUAAGUCCUUGAUCUUUGACUAUGUCAAAGUCACUCUGUCAGAGGUGUUCACGGCAUAGUUGGGGUUAAGCCACUUAGCCAUGGAGGUAAAUGAAUGCGCAACAAGGGAUCUCUAACCUUCAAACCGUUUGAGGGAGAAUACUCUAUGAUAUGAUUAAGAAUCUCUAGCCAGAGUAUGAAUGAGAUUUAGGAAGUCGUUCCAAAUCACAUUCAAAGUAAUCAUAUAAGUAAAUGAAUCACAGUGGAUAGUAGACAUGAAUAAACUAUCAAACCAAACAAUGUGGUCAAGAGUAUUGUAUUAGAGAAAGACCGUAUUGCAUUGUAAUCUUAAACUGAAUAGGUUCUCCAUCUCUUCUGAUUAGCUUGGGUAACCAUGACAUACUGCUAGGUGUCACUCAUUGUUUG